rnacentral:misc_RNA from 1 species
AACGCAUAUGGCACCUUUUGGUUUUUACUAAAAGGUAUGCCUGUUUGAGAAUCAUUUUAUUCAUCGUUUCCUUUUGGAUUCUCGAAUCCUUUUGGGGACUGCAAUUGGGCAUUCAUCAUUGAUAGCCUUGAAUUUAUGCACGAUUGUGUCGUGAUAAUUUUACGAAUUAAUCGACCAAUCCCACCCCCCAGUAUUAAUGAUCUCAAAUCAGGCAAGAUUACCCGCUGAACUUAA